rnacentral:rRNA from 1 species
GACGAACGCUGGCGGCGUGCUUAACACAUGCAAGUCGUACGGUAAGGCCCUUUCGGGGGUACACGAGUGGCGAACGGGUGAGUAACACGUGAGUAACCUGCCCACAACUUUUGGAUAACGCUAGGAAACUGGUGCUAAUACUUGAUAUGUACUCCUGCUGCAUGGGGGGGGUGGGAAAGCUCCGGCGGUUGGGGAUGGACUCGCGGCCUAUCGGCUUGUGGGUGGGGUAGUGGCCUACCAAGGCGGCGACGGGUAGCCGGCCUGAGAGGGUGACCGGCCACAUUGGGACUGAGAUACGGCCCAGACUCCUACGGGAGGCAGCAGUGGGGAAUAUUGCACCAUGGGCGCAAGCCUGAUGCAGCAACGCCGCGUGCGGGAUGACGGCCUUCGGGUUGUAAGCCGCUUUCAGCAGGGACGAAGCUUUUUGUGACGGUACCUGCAGAAGAAGCACCGGCUAACUACGUG